UGGAAUAGCAAGAAAUUAAUGAACGUGUAUUUUCUUAUCAGUCAACAAUGAUUAUUACAAAUGGAUGGGACCCCCCUUUAUAUAAUAGGGGAGUACUAAAUAAGGUACGCUUCUAAUUAUAGUAUGAAAUUAUAUUUGACAACUGAUUAACCACAGAGGACCAAUCCAUUCCGAAACUCACGCCAUGAUUUUUAGUCUGUUGCAGGUAUGUCGCUCUUUCCGUUACUGAAUUAUACAUGCAUCAUCUCGAAGUAUAUUUUCUUCUAACCUCGGUAAGUGAUAUCGACCUCGUUCUUGAAAAGGAACUUCGACUCCGAGCUCGAAGUCCUGGCCUUCCAACGUGGUAUUACUUUUUCAAUCAAAGGACGAAAUCGAAUAGCCUCGAUUUCUACCGUUACGCAUGGGCAUGUAGUAGAUUACAAAAUAAGAUCCUAGCUACUACCAUUACUCAAAAGAAUACCCGUUCCUAUGUAUAUGCGUGUCUUGUAGUUUCAUAUAGUUAAACAACUCUCUUUUAUCAUUCUAACUAGAAAAAAAAAAAUCACAUUUAGAAGUCUCAGUCUUAAUAUACCUUGUCUCCGUGGAAGCUACCUGGCUAAAACUGCUUUUCCUCGCUAACUCCUUUCAGUUAAAUGUUCUCAAUCUAUUCAAAUCAAUGAGUCUGAAAGUUAGCAACUUCAUCAUACCCAUUUCAAAAAGUUUGGAUUUUGGUCAAAGUUAAAGUUAACUAUCAGUCAACAGGGUCAAAACUCGAAACAAGUUUCAUAAGUGGUACGCCCCUAAGCUAAGAAAUUCAAAUAUAUGAUCAAACUCCAAUCUUAACUUAGAUUACUAUGUCAGAAUCACAAAAAAUGUGAAUUUUGAACGCUUGAAAUAUCUAGUUUUAAUCAUAAAAUCCGUGUGGAACCAUGUAUAUAACUCAAGGAAGGUCUUAGAAAUGUUACCUCAAAGUUCCAUGGUGAUUCCUAUUUUAAUAAGAGUGUAAAUUAAACCGCAUCUUAGAAGUCUGAAAUCAUAAAAAACAGUAGCUAGUUUUCAAAAAAUAUGUUCUUCAAAAUAUUUGAGGUUGACCGUGAUGGUGGAACCUCCUUCGCAUUCACGGAGCAUGAGCUAGCUGGGCUAUAUCACUUGCUCGGAAAAGGUCUCGCGAUCACAGAGACGUCCUGACUAGCUAGACCUCCGCUUUCGUUGACAAGGAAUCGCAAACACGAUGAGUUAAUUGGGUCAACAUCCUUGAGAUUGCAGCACAUACCUUCGCGAUCAAGCUUGCCUGGGACUUUUCUCUCGUGAUCGUAGAUUGAUUAGUGGGAUCUCGGUGCACCAGCAUCAACAAAAUUUUCAACUUUCUAAAAUGGUUUGAAUGUUCCAAAACUCACCUAAGCCCGAGUCUUUAUUGAACCACUUCAACAAGUCCCAAAUGGUAAAAUAAUUUGUACAAAGGCUCGAAACAUACAUUAGAAUGUGAAUACUCAAAACGAGGAUUUCAAUUGUUACAAGUCAAGAACUGUUGUGAAUCAUGAAAUAAUAUAGUAGAAUUAUAAACAAAAUUAAAAGUGUUGCUAUCACUUUUG
rnacentral:lncRNA from 1 species